ensembl:lncRNA novel transcript, antisense to ANKRD34A
GCGGUCCCCGCGGUCCAGGGCGUGGACAAGAGCCGAGGCGCCCGCGUGAUCUCGGACUGAGGGGUCUGCGCCGUGGGCAAGGAGCAGCGAGGCCACCGCGGCGCCCCCACCCCCGGCGCAAGCGUGCAUGAGCGCCGUGCGCCCUAAUCGGUCUGCGAUAUUGGGGUCCGCGCCUUGCUCCAGGAGGCCCUCUCCUCCUUUGGCCUCUCUGUAGGGGCUCCCUCAACACGGUCC